AAAAUUAUCCCAGUCCUUUUGCAGUAAUUUUAAAUAUCUAACAAAAUAUUCAAGAAAACAGGUUUCUGAUGAAAUCAAAAAGUCAAGAAGAACUGUGGAAUCAAAUCCUAUAUUUUUCAAGAAGAACAAGAAAAUACAGUGAGGAUUAUAGCCAUUUUCAUGUGUGUGAUGGUCCCACAUUUCUUUUCCCUGAGUCAAGCUUUCAGUGGCUUCACAUCCUCUGGUCAGUGUUAAGUAGAUGCCCAGUGAUGCCUUGGCAGCCUCCAGCAUGUCAUCGUCUUGUUCUAUGAAAACCCGAGACAGCCAUUUGCACGGAUUGUGUAAUUGCAGAGAGGGCUGAAGAUGAGGCUUUAAGAAGGUCAGUAACUCAGACAUGAACCUCUGUAAGUCAACUUUCACUUCACUUGCUGAAGAAUAAUUUUGAAACUUGAUUUCUAAGGAUUUCAUUAUAACUAAGCUUGCUGCUCUAAGGAUCACAUGAUCUGGACUAGUGAUAAGUUCACAUUCAGGUUGAACUUCAUCACCUCCAAAAAAGGAAUGUUUUUCAUAAACAGACAGUGUCUUCAACAACCCCGAAUUCACAGCUUGCAAAACAGCAUUAGCUAAAGCCAGCAUGUCCACCGCUACAUGAUGGUCUGGCGGCAUUAAGGCAGGCACAGAUCCACGACAGAGGUCUUCACCCACUUUACAGAGAAGGCACUUUUUGAGGAAUAUGAUGACCUUCCUUUUAACAAAAGCCUGAAUAGGCCAGGUAAUAACUUCUAGCAUGCAAGAUGGUUUCAAAAAUAAAAUCCUCUGGCAAGUGAAAUGUAACUUCAGGUGGAUUCUGGAGGCGAUGAGAAGCUCAAGCAAAUCCAGGAAACACAUCAGGAUGUUUACUAUUUUAGAAGUAUCCCGGCAGUUUUCAAAAUGCUGAGAGAAUAAGGAAUUGUAAAACACUUCAAAAAUGGUGUCGAAAUGAGUCAGGAACUGCUUUAGAAUUUCUGUUUUCUGUGAACAUGAAUCUUUAAAGAUUUCUUUUAUUAUUGCUGUAAGAGUCCAGAGGCAGUAUAUUGCUUUAUUACUCUCAGAGUAUUCAGAAAGAUUUUUCUGGCAAAAAGCAAUCCAGGAAUUACUUAAGGUUAUCUUUUCUCUCAAUUGGAAAUAUAGAAGCAAUGCAAGGCACUGUGCAGCCAUGUGAGAUAACAAUUUAUCUGAAUUUUGGAACAUGCAGAUUAAUUUAGAAUCGACUUUGGCUGAUUCUAAGAGAAUUUUAAUUACAUCUCUGUACUGCUCCUUUGCAUGGAACUCGGUUUUGACAGACAAUAUCCGGGUUGUCAUCACUUUGAUCACUGUUAACUGAAGGAGCAUUACUUCUCUGGAACCGCUCAUCUGAGAGUUGGUCUUCAAACACACAGGUGCUACAGCAAUGGGAGCCACACCAACAGAGAUGGGCUGAUGCCUGCCCUGGAUACCACAGGUGUUUGCCCAUUCUAAGGAGGUGGCUGUAGAACAAUCUUGAUCUGAAACUGCUGGGUUGAGAUAAAAGAUGUAAUCAUGGCUGUCAUUUUCAAGUGUGGCUCCAAGAAGUACCUUCUUGUAUAACUCUUCUAAAACUUCACAGAAAACUUUCAUUUUGACUUCCAAAAUGUAUCUUAUAAGAAGGUCGACAACUCCAAGUUGUAAACAUUAAAUCUCAGAAGUGCAAUGAAUCUCUAAGAAGUUUCUUCAGUGAAACCUGGGAUCUGGCUCAGGCGAACUCUCUUCACACCGCCAUUUGAGG
rnacentral:lncRNA from 1 species